GAUGAAGAACGCAGCGAAAUGCGAUAAGUAAUGUGAAUUGCAGAAUUCAGUGAAUCAUCGAAUCUUUGAACGCACCUUGCGCCCUUUGGCUAUUCCGAAGGGCAUGCCUGUUUGAGUAUCAUGAACACCUCAACUCUCAUGGCUUGCCAUGAUGAGCUUGGACUUUUGGGGGUCUUGCUGGCCUGUGGUCAGCUCCUCUCAAAUGAAUUAGCCUGCCAGUGUUUGGUGGCAUCACAGGUGUGAUAACUAUCUACGCUUGGGGUUUUCCACCAGGUAACCUUCAGUGAUGAAGGUUCGCUGGGGCUCAUAAACGUCUCUCCUCAGUGAGGACAGCUCUUUGAACGUUUGAUCUCAAAUCAGGUAGGACUACCCGCUGAACUUAAGCAUAUCAAUAAGCGGAGGA
rnacentral:misc_RNA from 1 species